rfam:Picea glauca, whole genome shotgun sequence.
AUGUACAUGCGUACAAUGUUAAUGUAUCAUAUCCCAUCAUAAAUCCAUAGUUAAGCACACUUGGGCUAGAGUAGUACUAGGAUGGGUGACCUGCAGGGAAGUCCUAGUGUUUUACAUG